ensembl:lncRNA
CUGGAGGAAGAGGAAGGAAGUAGCCGUGAAGGUGCAGAUGAGCAAGUCCUGCCUUGCUCACCAUCGCACAGCAGUGCAAAAACACUCAGCGCUUCACCACACUCUGCUCCUCAUACACCAAACCCUGCGUUCACUCCUGCUGCCUGUCAAAGCCCACCUUUCCCACCAGUGACCUCCGCGAGGUGGUGAGGCGCUGAGGACUCAGAAGCCAGCCGUCCAGGCCCAGCCUGGUUAGGAAGACGUCUGUGGUUUAUGGGCCCUUUCCAAGGCUGGCGAUACAGCAGUGAACUUGCUCUUAUGGAACACAUACAUUCUACUGGCAAGAACCAAGAAACCAAAAACGUGAGGACACAAGAAGACGGUCAUCGAUGAACCAGGACGAAGAUUCUCAACAGACACUGAAUCUGCUGGCUCCUUGACCUUGGAGUCCCAGGCUCCAGAACUGAGAGAAAUAAAUGUUUUUUGUCUAAGC